rnacentral:misc_RNA from 1 species
GAAAUGCGAUAAGUAAUGUGAAUUGCAGAAUUCAGUGAAUCAUCGAAUCUUUGAACGCACAUUGCGCCCGCCAGUAUUCUGGCGGGCAUGCCUGUUCGAGCGUCAUUACAACCCUCAGGCCCCCGGGCCUGGCGUUGGGGAUCGGCGGAAGCCCCCUGCGGGCACAACGCCGUCCCCCAAAUACAGUGGCGGUCCCGCCGCAGCUUCCAUUGCGUAGUAGCUAACACCUCGCAACUGGAGAGCGGCGCGGCCACGCCAUAAAACACCCAACUUCUGAAUGUUGACCUCGAAUCAGGUAGGAAUACCCGCUGAACUUAAGC